GAAAGGCGAAACGGAAUGUGAAUCGCAGAAUUCAGUGAAUCAUCGAAUCUUUGAACGCACAUUGCGCCCUUUGCUAUUCCAAAGGGCAUGCCUGUUCGAGCGUCAUUUGUACCCUCAAGCUUUGCUUGGUGUUGGGCGUCUUGUCUCCAGUUCGCUGGAGACUCGCCUUAAAGUCAUUGGCAGCCGGCCUACUGGUUUCGGAGCGCAGCACAAGUCGCGGUCUCUUCCAGCCCAGGUCAGCAUCCAGUAAGCCUUUUUUUCAACUUUUGACCCCGGAUCAGGUAGGGAUACCCGCUGAACUUCA
rnacentral:misc_RNA from 1 species